AUGGGCUAUCUUUUUGUGAAAGCGAGCACAUCCCCAUCUAGCAGAGGGGCUGGGGGAACAGGAUUCGGCGGGGCCACCCUCCCCACCCCUUGCUUUUGGGACAUUUUCAGGGUUUUAGCCAUCUUCCCCCAAACGAAGCAGAUGCCUCGAAGCCAGCUCAGUGUUUUCCCCUCAGCCGCCCAGGCUGGGCUCCAGCCCUCUCAUAUUUCACUUGCUACCUGCAGAGAGGACUCCUCAAGGGCCGCUGUGGCUUUUUGCACAAUUUGUCGCUUUUUCGGGGCAAAUAUGAAGCUUUUCAGACCAAAAUGGCACGGGGUGGGCGUGGCGCAGCAAAGAGGCCGCCCUGGGCACCCGGGUGGCAGGCAGCACCCGAACCCCACUUCUUCCCCCAGGACCCCCUCCCCUCUGCCAGAUGCCGGCCUUGUCUUGGCGUUUAUUUGCAUUUUUUCCCCCAAUUCGGGCACUUUGCUGCUCCUGCACACAGUGGCCUCUCCUUCGCGUGCCUCAGCUCAGGCCUGCCCCGUGUGCUUCGAGCCGCGGGGCUGCAGGCCGCCGGGACCACCCAGAUUUUGGGCAACCCCUCAUCACCACACAGCACCGAUGUGGCUGGGGGCUCGGUUUUUAAGGUCACACUCCAACUUUUCCCUGGGCACUGCAGCCUCUGCCCUGCCUCGGGAGUCGCCGGCCGAUGGCAGAAAGCAGGCCAGGCUGUUAAUAAUCUACCAGCUGCUCAGCUUGGCUAUUGUUGCAGCUGAAUCUUUUCUUUCUCCUGAAGUUGGACAAAUACACUCGAUUUCGGGGGAGAGUGGGCACGGCGGCAAUCCUUUCCCUCGUACAGCGGGGCCAGCAUUGCUCUGCCCCAGAGGGGAGCCCUCUCCUCGUCCUAUUCUGGAGCAUGGGGGGUUUUGGGGGGUCUCAAUGCAGGCCUGCCUGCACCAAGGGGUUGGGGCCCCUCAGCUCCUGCCAUGCUGGGGAUGCUUCCCCCUGGAGUGCUGGUGGCAGGGGGCUGAGCCCCAGCUGUGGCCAGGAGCCCCUUGA
rnacentral:lncRNA from 1 species